rnacentral:rRNA from 1 species
UACGUAGGGUGCAAGCGUUGUCCGGAAUUAUUGGGCGUAAAGAGCUCGUAGGCGGCCUGUUGCGUCGGCUGUGAAAACCCGGGGCUCAACCCCGGGCCUGCAGUCGAUACGGGCAGACUAGAGGCAGGUAGGGGAGAAUGGAAUUCCCGGUGUAGCGGUGAAAUGCGCAGAUAUCGGGAGGAACACCGGUGGCGAAGGCGGGUCUCUGGACAGUUCCUGACGCUGAGGCACGAAAGCGUGGGGAGCAAACAGG